rnacentral:lncRNA from 1 species
GAUGAAAAGAAAGAAUCCAGCAGAAAUAUUAGCAGUUGCAAACCAUGGACUUGCUAACGGUAUUCCGAGAUAGGAUGAAACAGCGGACCAGUCAAGCCCAAAAGCCCCUAAACCGAGCCCAUAGAGACCCGAACCAAGUUGCUGGGCUGGGACUGAUUUGGCGAAGAUCCAGCACAUCCAUGAAAGGGAUGUUAACAUUUCAAAAAUAUAGCCAGGAAAGACAUAGUAAGCAAAGCCGCAGAUAAAGGAAAUUAUAAAGAACCGAAAACGCUUCAAUCCUCUCUUAGUCCGUUCUUCUUUUUCUUGCAAAGCUCUGCAAAAGCAUAUUUUGAGUUUUAGAGCCUAACACAGGAAUGGAUGUAUAUAAUACCUGAAUGAUUGUUAACAUAAUGUGCUCUAUGAACUUCCCUAAGGAACGAGACUUGGACUAAAUUGUCAGGCCACCAAUUUGCUGCAGGCUCCACAAGAUACCUACUGAAUAUACCAGCCAAUCAAAACCCCAGAGCCUGCGAUUUAAUACCGUAUGUUCUGUCAGGCUGCCUAGAGCCUAAUCAUAAUAUAC